rnacentral:rRNA from 1 species
UACGUAGGGGGCGAGCGUUGUCCGGAGUUACUGGGCGUAAAGCGCACGCAGGCGGUCUGUGAAGUUUGGAGUGACAGUUGGUGGCUCAACCACCAAAGUGCUUUGAAAACUGACAGACUUGAGGGCUUCAGAGGGACACGGAAUUCCGGGUGGAGUGGUGAAAUGCGUAGAGAUCCGGAGGAACACCAAAGGCGAAGGCAGCUCUCUGGGACGGUACUGACGCUGAGACGCGAAAGCGUGGGGAGCGAACAGG